GGUCAAGCGAAUAGUGGUUUACGGUGGAUGUCUUGGAGUUGUCAGGCGAUGAAGGUCGUGAUAAGCUGCGAAAAGCCUCGGGGAGGAGCACAUGUCCUGUGAUCCGGGGAUGACCGAAUGGGGUAACCCGACAGGGUAAAGCCUUGUCAUUGCCUUCCUGAAUGAAUAGGGAGGGUAAGGCGAAACUGGGUGAACUGAACCAUCUAAGUAACUUGGGAAAAGAAAUCAAGAGAGAUUCCGAAAGUAGUGGCGAGCGAAAUUGGAGGAGCCUAAACCUGUGUCUAACAGGGGUUGUAGGGCCGCGCGGGCUUGCGUUCGGUGGGUGAAAUAAUCCGGCCUAUAGCAGAAAGGUUUUGGGAAAGCCUGACAGAGAGGGUGAAAUCCCCGUAUGCGGAAUGGGGCGGACCUGCUGGUGCGGUACCUGAGUACGGCGGGACACGAGGAAUCCUGUCGGAAUCUGGGUCGACCACGAUCUAAGGCUAAAUACUCGACAACUACCGAUAGUGGACAAGUACCGUGAGGGAAAGAUGAAAAGAACCCCGGUGAGGGGAGUGAAAUAGAACCUGAAACCGUAAACCAACAAGAUGUUACAGCCUGUGAGGGUGGUAGCGUGCCUUUUGUAGAAUGAGCCUGCGAGUUACGGUGUGCAGCAAGGUUAAGGGAUAGGAGUCCUGGAGCCGGAGGGAAACCGAGUCUUAAAAGGGCGUGGUGAGUUGUACGUCGUAGACCCGAAGCCAGGGUGAUCUAGUUAUGAGCAGGUUGAAACAGGGGUGAAGCCUUGUGGAGGACCGAACUAUAAUCUGUUAAAAAAGGUAUGGAUGACUUGUGACUAGGAGUGAAAGGCUAAACAAACCUGGAGAUAGCUGGUUCUCCCCGAAAUGCCUUUAGGGACAGCCUUAUACAAAACUGUCGGAGGUAAAGCACUGGAUGGGCUAGGGGGUUUCAUCGCCUACCAAACCCAAUCAAACUCUGAAUGCCGGCAGUCAACGUGUGGGAGUGAGACUGCGUGCGACAAGGUUCGUAGUCGAGAGGGAAACAGCCCAGACCGUCAGCUAAGGUCCCGAAAUACCGCUUGAGUGUGAAAUGAAGUGUGGGUACCUGGACAGCCAGGAGGUUGGCUUAGAAGCAGCCAUUCCUUGAAAGAGUGCGUAAUAGCUCACUGGUCGAGUACGCAUGCGCAGAUAAUGUAUCGGGGCUAAGCGGUAUACCGAAGCUACGGGUCUUGCAUUUUUGGUGCAAGGCGGUAGGGGAGCAUUCCAUGUACUGAUGAAGGAAUAUCCGGGAGGAGUUCUGGAGGGGAUGGAAGAGAGAAUGCAGGUAUAAGUACACGAAAAGGAGGGUGAGAUUCCUUCCCGCCGAAAACCUAAGGUUUCCUGGGUGAAGGUCAUCUGCUCAGGGUAAGUCGGCCCCUAAGGCGAGGACGAGGGUCGUAGUCGAUGGGAAUCCGGUUUAUAUUCCGGAACCUCUUGCAAUUUCGAUGGCAGGACGCGUGAGGUGAAGCCCGGCCAAAGAUUGGUAGUUUUGGUCUAAGUAUCCGAGCCGUUUUAAGAGCGAUAGGCAAAUCCGUCGUUCGAGGUAAGGUGCGAGUGCGACUGGAGCGAUGAGCGAAGGGAAGCAGGUGUAGUCAUGGCGACGGGAAAUACUGUCUAAGGUUAGGUUGCAAGAGACCGUACCGCAAACCGACACAGGUAGGUAGGAUGAGUAAUCUAAGGCGCUCGAGAGAACUCGCGUCAAGGAACUCGGCAAAAUACACACGUAACCUCGGGAGAAGUGUGACCCUUGCCUUUGGUGAGGGUGGCAGAAAGCAGGUCCAGGCGACUGUUUAUCAAAAACAUAGCCAUCUGCAAAUCAGUAAUGAGACGUAUAGGUGGUGACACCUGCCCGGUGCUGGAAGGUUAAGAGGAGAGGUUCGUGGUAACACAACGCUUUGAAUUGAAGCCCCAGUAAACGGCGGCCGUAACUAUAACGGUCCUAAGGUAGCGAAAUUCCUUGUCGGGUAAGUUCCGACCCGCACGAAUGGUGUAACGACUCUGGACACUGUCUCGACGCGAGACUCGGUGAAAUUUAUGUACCGGUAAAGAAGCCGGUUACCCAUAGUUAGACGGAAAGACCCCGUGAACCUUCACCGUAGCUUACUAUUGGAACUUGGUUUACCAUGUGUAGUAUAGGUGGGAGACAGAGAAGCUUGGCCGUCAGGUUAGGCGGAGUCAACAGUGAAAUACCACCCUUGGUACGUCAGGUUUCUAACCUUUGGCCGUGGAUCCGGCAAAGGGACCGUGGUAGGUGGGCGGUUUGACUGGGGCGGUCGCCUCCUAAAAGGUAACGGAGGUGCGCGAAGGUCUCCUCACACCGGUUGGAAAUCGGUGCGCGAGUGUAAAGGCACAAGGAGGCUUAACUGCGAGACCGACAGGUCGAGCAGAUACGAAAGUAGGUCUUAGUGAUCUGGCGGUAGCGUGUGGAAGCGCCGUCACUUAACGGAUAAAAGGUACUCCGGGGAUAACAGGCUGAUUUUCCCCAAGAGUUCACAUCGACGGGAAAGUUUGGCACCUCGAUGUCGGCUCAUCGCAUCCUGGGGCUGAAGCAGGUCCCAAGGGUUUGGCUGUUCGCCAAUUAAAGCGGUACGUGAGCUGGGUUCAGAACGUCGCGAGACAGUUCGGUCCCUAUCUGCUAUGGGCGUUGGAUAUGUGAGAGGAGCUGCUUUUAGUACGAGAGGACCGAAGUGGACGAACCUCUGGUGUACCAGUUAUCCUGCCAAGGGUACGUGCUGGGUAGCUAUGUUCGGAAGGGAUAACCGCUGAAGGCAUCUAAGUGGGAAGCCCGCCUCAAGAUUACAUAUCCCUGAAGGUUGACCUUCCUGAAGACUCCUUGCACACUACAAGGUCGAUAGGCUGGAGGUCUACGUACCGUAAGGUAUUAAGCCGACCAGUACUAAUAAGUCGUGAGGCUUGACCAU
rnacentral:rRNA from 20 species